GACAGAGGGUGCAAACGUUGUUCGGAAUUACUGGGCGUAAAGCGCGUGUAGGCGGCUAUGCAAGUCGGGCGUGAAAUCCCUCGGCUCAACCGAGGAAGUGCACUCGAAACUGCGUAGCUAGAGUCUCGGAGAGGAAGGUGGAAUACUUGGUGUAGAGGUGAAAUUCGUAGAUAUCAAGUGGAACACCGGUGGCGAAGGCGGCCUUCUGGACGAUGACUGACGCUGAGACGCGAAAGCGUGGGGAGCAAACGGG
rnacentral:rRNA from 1 species